rnacentral:rRNA from 1 species
GUGAGGAAUUUUCCGCAAUGGGCGAAAGCCUGACGGAGCAAUGCCGCGUGAAGGAUGAAGGCCUAUGGGUUGUAAACUUCUUUUCUCAGAAAAGAAUUGUGACGGUAUCUGAGGAAUAAGCAUCGGCUAACUCUGUGCCAGCAGCCGCGGUAAGACAGAGGAUGCAAGCGUUAUCCGGAAUGAUUGGGCGUAAAGCGUCUGUAGGUUGUUUAAAAAGUAUUCUGUCAAAGAUUAGGGCUUAACCCUAGAUAGGCAGAAUAAACUUUUAAGCUAGAGUUUGGUAGAGGCAGAGGGAAUUCCCGGUGGAGCGGUGAAAUGCGUAGAUAUCGGGAGGAACACCAAAGGCGAAGGCACUCUGCUGGGCCAAUACUAACACUGAGAGACGAAAGCGAGGGGAGCAAAUGGGAUUAGAAACCCGAGUAGUCC